rnacentral:rRNA from 1 species
AUUGAACGCUGGCGGCAUGCUUUACACAUGCAAGUCGAACGGCAGCGCGGGGCAACCUGGCGGCGAGUGGCGAACGGGUGAGUAAUAUAUCGGAACGUACCCAGAAGUGGGGGAUAACGUAGCGAAAGUUACGCUAAUACCGCAUACGAUCUACGGAUGAAAGUAGGGGACCGCAAGGCCUUAUGCUUUUGGAGCGGCCGAUAUCUGAUUAGCUAGUUGGUGAGGUAAAGGCUCACCAAGGCGACGAUCAGUAGCUGGUCUGAGAGGACGACCAGCCACACUGGAACUGAGACACGGUCCAGACUCCUACGGGAGGCAGCAGUGGGGAAUUUUGGACAAUGGGCGCAAGCCUGAUCCAGCAAUGCCGCGUGGGUGAAGAAGGCCUUCGGGUUGUAAAGCUCUUUUGUCAGGGAAGAAACGGUAGAGGCUAAUAUCCUUUGCUAAUGACGGUACCUGAAGAAUAAGCACCGGCUAACUACGUG